AUUGAACGCUGGCGGCAUGCCUUACACAUGCAAGUCGAACGGCAGCACGGGAGCAAUCCUGGUGGCGAGUGGCGAACGGGUGAGUAAUGUAUCGGAACGUACCUUUCAGUGGGGGAUAACGUAGCGAAAGUUACGCUAAUACCGCAUAUUCUGUGAGCAGGAAAGCAGGGGAUCGCAAGACCUUGCGCUGAUUGAGCGGCCGAUAUCAGAUUAGCUAGUUGGUGGGGUAAAGGCCUACCAAGGCGACGAUCUGUAGCGGGUCUGAGAGGAUGAUCCGCCACACUGGAACUGAGACACGGUCCAGACUCCUACGGGAGGCAGCAGUGGGGAAUUUUGGACAAUGGGGGCAACCCUGAUCCAGCCAUGCCGCGUGAGUGAAGAAGGCCUUCGGGUUGUAAAGCUCUUUCAGCCGGGAAGAAAUCGCAUGGGCUAAUACCCUGUGUGGAUGACGGUACCGGAAUAAGAAGCACCGGCUAACUACGUGCCAGCAGCCGCGGUAAUACGUAGGGUGCGAGCGUUAAUCGGAAUUACUGGGCGUAAAGCGUGCGCAGGCGGUUUAGUAAGACAGGCGUGAAAUCCCCGGGCUCAACCUGGGAACUGCGCUUGUGACUGCUAAGCUAGAGUACGGCAGAGGGGGGUGGAAUUCCACGUGUAGCAGUGAAAUGCGUAGAGAUGUGGAGGAACACCAAUGGCGAAGGCAGCCCCCUGGGUCGAUACUGACGCUCAUGCACGAAAGCGUGGGUAGCAAACAGGAUUAGAUACCCUGGUAGUCCACGCCCUAAACGAUGUCAACUAGGUGUUGGGUGGGUAAAACCAUUUAGUACCGGAG
rnacentral:rRNA from 1 species